rnacentral:rRNA from 1 species
AUUGAACGCUGGCGGCAUGCCUUACACAUGCAAGUCGAACGGUAACAGGUCUUCGGAUGCUGACGAGUGGCGAACGGGUGAGUAAUACAUCGGAACGUGCCUAGUAGUGGGGGAUAACUACUCGAAAGAGUGGCUAAUACCGCAUUAGAUCUACGGAUGAAAGCAGGGGAUCGCAAGACCUUGUGCUACUAGAGCGGCCGAUGGCAGAUUAGGUAGUUGGUGGGAUAAAAGCUUACCAAGCCGACGAUCUGUAGCUGGUCUGAGAGGACGAUCAGCCACACUGGGACUGAGACACGGCCCAGACUCCUACGGGAGGCAGCAGUGGGGAAUUUUGGACAAUGGGCGCAAGCCUGAUCCAGCAAUGCCGCGUGCAGGAUGGAGGCCUUCGGGUUGUAAACUGCUUUUGUACGGAACGAAAAGCCCUGGGUUAAUACCCUGGGGUCAUGACGGUACCGUAAGAAUAAGCACCGGCUAACUACGUGCCAGCCGCCGCGGUAACAC